rnacentral:tRNA from 1 species
GCUCGUAUCGCAUAAUCAGGUAUUGCGAGGGUCUCAAGACAACCCUUGUCUUGCCCGCCAAGACUUCUGGGUUCGAAUCCCAGUACGAGCG